UACGUAGGGUGCGAGCGUUAAUCGGAAUUACUGGGCGUAAAGCGUGCGUAGGCGGUUCGCUGUGUCCGAUGUGAAAGCCCCGGGCUUAACCUGGGAAUGGCAUUGGAAACUGGCGGGCUUGAGUGCGGCAGAGGGGGGUGGAAUUCCAAGUGUAGCAGUGAAAUGCGUAGAUAUUUGGAGGAACACCAAUGGCGAAGGCAGCCCCCUGGGUUAACACUGACGCUCCAUGCACGAAAGCGUGGGGAGCAAACGAGGAUUAGAAAACCCGGAGUGAGA
rnacentral:rRNA from 1 species